CGGAGGCGCUCAAAGGUUCUCUCAGUACGGUCGGAAAUCGUACGUAGAGGGUAAAGGCAAAAGAGAGCUUGAUUGCAAGACAUACAGGUCGAGCAAGGAUGAAAAUCGGACUUAGUGAUCCGGUGGUUCGGCGUGGAAGGGCCAUCGCUCAACGGAUAAAAGCUACCCUGGGGAUAACAGGCUUAUCUCCCCCAAGAGUCCACAUCGACGGGGAGGUUUGGCACCUCGAUGUCGGCUCAUCACAUCCUGGGGCUGUAGUAGGUCCCAAGGGU
rnacentral:rRNA from 1 species